rnacentral:hammerhead_ribozyme from 1 species
AUCCAGCUGACGAGCCGCGAAUAGGACGAAACGCACGUUCUGAAU